rnacentral:lncRNA from 1 species
GUUUGCAAAUUUUUCCGACACUUAGAACCUCUUAAAACCAUUCAGGGCUCCUCCUUUUGGAAGCUGUGAUUUUCCUACAAUAAUUUUCUAUAAUUGUGCCAUGGAACUAAAAAUAAAAAUGACAUGAGAAGUUUUCCCACAGUGAGAAUCACAAGCUCAGUGCAGAACUGAGUCAUCAACUUUGAGUUUCAAGAAAAUAUAUCCAGGUUAGGAAACUGACUCUUCCAACUGCCUUCCUCCUGGCUAUGCCUGGUAAGAUAUAAAGCCUACAAUAUGACUAUCAAUAACUGCUAAGAGCUCUGGCCAUACUCCAGUAGGUAACUAUAAUGUACUAUCUUAUUGAAAAAGAAAUGUGGUAAGAAAUGUAACAGGCUUAGGUUUAUUGAGAAAGUCAUGAUUACUGUGCAGGCUGAGUACUUCUGAUCCCAGGCCAAGACUACACAAAACAGUUAUGAGAUUUAUCAGGUUUGUUUAAGCUAAUCAUAUGUCUAGCUCUCUUCAUUUUAUUUCUCUUCAUCAUUCAGCAGAACAUAAUUGUUUUGGUUUAUCACCAAACUUCUGCCUGUUCCAUCCUUUGAGUUAUCUGUCACCUUUUUCAAGGUCAUGAGGAAGCCCCAUGGGGUGAGUAUUUAGUUGACUGGUUGGCUCUGUGGCCUAUAGAUGCUGAUAAAUGAUCCCUCUGUAUUUGCAGGGAAAUGAUUGAAGAAGGGGAGAGAGAGACUUUGAAUCCUGUACAGGAGAUACAUAAAACGUGUUGCUCCCUGGAAAUCUUGGUUACCUGCAUCCCAAGCCCCAAUCACUUUGUCUGUGUUGAAGACUUUGCUGUCCAAAGGGACAGAGCCCAGAGACUUGCACGCAUCUCCUCUGAACUGCACCCUCACCCGGCACAUUAUUACAGUUUUUUGAAGAUAAAGGCAAGUAAAAUAAAGGGAAACAGACUUUCAACUUUAGUGUUACUAAAGUGAACAGAAAAUGAAUACAUUUUAAUUUAUCAUUUUAACAUUCUUUAUAAUCACUGUUAUAAUAAUCUUCCCA